AUGGCGAAGGCAGCUUUCUGGACCAAUACUGACGCUGAGGUACGAAAGCGUGGGUAGCAAACAGGAUUAGAUACCCUGGUAGUCCACGCCGUAAACGAUGAUAACUAGCCGUUGGGAGGGUUUACCUCUUAGUGGCGAAGCUAACGCGUUAAGUUAUCCGCCUGGGGAGUACGGCCGCAAGGCUAAAACUCAAAGGAAUUGACGGGGACCCGCACAAGCGGUGGAGCAUGUGGUUUAAUUCGAUGCAACGCGAAGAACCUUACCUGGUCUUGACAUACAGAGAACUUUCCAGAGAUGGAUUGGUGCCUUCGGGAACUCUGAUACAGGUGCUGCAUGGCUGUCGUCAGCUCGUGUCGUGAGAUGUUGGGUUAAGUCCCGUAACGAGCGCAACCCUUAUCCUUAUUUGCCAGCACUUCGGGUGGGAACUAUAAGGAGACUGCCGGUGAUAAACCGGAGGAAGGCGGGGACGACGUCAAGUCAUCAUGGCCCUUACGACCAGGGCUACACACGUGCUACAAUGGGAAGGACAAAGGGUCGCUAAGCCGCGAGGUGGUGCUAAUCUCAUAAACCUUUUCGUAGUCCGGAUCGGAGUCUGCAACUCGACUCCGUGGAGUCGGAAUCGCUAGUAAUCGUGGAUCAGAACGCCACGGUGAAUACGUUCCCGGGUCU
rnacentral:rRNA from 1 species